AAAUUUAAGGGAAGCGAAUAUUGGCCCUCUCGCCCCUCUUUCAAACAAACACAAGAUCUAUGUUCUCUCUCACAUACAUAGAGCUCUCUCACACACAUAACAGUCACCAGCAAACCUCACCCCCGCUCACCACUGGCGCUCACCACUGCUAUUGCCGCAAAUCACAGGCUGUGGAAUGAAUCUAAGAGGUGAUGACCCUGCUACGAUGAAAUAUUUUGAUCUGAGUGUGCAGAAUAGGGCAAAUGAGUUAAAGGCCUCUUCUACAAAUGGCCAAGCAAAUACAAGUAGCAAAAAGUAUUGCCUAUAGUACCACUUCAAGAAGAUGAUGAAACAAGUAGAAGAUGGAAAAAAAAACAAGGAAGGCAAAACAAGUACAACUCAGUCAUCUGAAUGACAUGGUUUUAUGGCUCACAACCCUCUUGUAGGGUUCAGAUGGUCAUCCUACUAUUUGAUGACUUUUGACAUGGACAUGUAGAUCUUCCAUUUUUGUGUACGGAAGAUUAUUUACACUUUUUCAUAAUCUCGCUUUUUAGUCGUCCUCUAUUUUUUUGUGUGAAUUUGUAUUAAUCGUACAUAUAACUUUUGGCGGGGUACAGAAUACUUUUGACAUCGAACAAAUAUUUAUUGCCGUGGUAUAUAGAUUACCUAAUGGUAAUUUGUACCAUGCCAAAUGGCCAUUUUGCAUAGUUGUAAAUAAAUUUGUGUACGGAGAACAUGGUUUUUGUAUGAUUAUUUGUUCUGUAUGAAAUUAUUAUUUUCAGUUGGAAUA